rnacentral:misc_RNA from 1 species
GAUGAAGAACGCAGCGAAAUGCGAUAAGUAAUGCGAAUUGCAGAAUUCAGUGAAUCAUCGAAUCUUUGAACGCACAUUGCGCCCGCUAGUAUUCUGGCGGGCAUGCCUGUCUGAGCGUCAUUUCAACCCUCGCCCCCGGCUUUUGCUGGGAGCGGUGUUGGGGAUCGGCCCGCCCCCGCGCGGGCCGGCCCCGAAUUAUAGUGGCGGCUCCACCGCGAGCUCCCCUGCGCAGUAGCGAUACCUCGCAGCCGGAUAGCGGUGCGGCCACGCCGUAAAACACCCCACUUCUUCAAGGUUGACCUCGGAUCAGGUAGGAAUACCCGCUGAACUUAAGCAUAUCAAUAAGCGGAGGA